CAAAUGAGUUCUUUUUAUUGCUUACCUUAUCAAGAUCCUCAUCCGAAAGUAUGCGUUUAUCACAGGGAAGUGGAUCAUCAAAUCAGUUCAGCAAUAUCCAGCUAAAAGCCACGUAUCUACCAACUAUAAAACUACUUCAACAUGGAUGUCGCAACAAGGCAACAAAAUUACCAAAUAGUGAUUGUAGAGGAAUUCCGCUCACAACUCAUGAAUCUGACUGCUGACAUCCUUAACGAAAUUGAGCCCACCAACCAAGGCGAAAUCAAUUUUAAAGACGUUGUCUGCCAAAAAUUGGCGAGCAUUUACGGGAAACAGUGCACAUCAAUCGAAAAUAGUCUCAAAGUGACGCUAUUGGAUAACAAAAUGGUGACGGUAUUUGUGACGGUGAUGGAGUUAGACUCAAUGCCUGAUGUGCUGAACGUGCCGUUAAAUCGUCAAUUUAUUGAGCCCCUUCGCAAACAUGAUGCUUCCGUCACCCAUAGUUUUGUGAUCAUUUUCUGUCCGAAACAGAACUUCCGUUGUGUUUUUCAUAUUUCCAAUUGAGUUACUCAAUCAUGAUUCAGUUUUGUUCUGAAAAUUCGAAAACAAUACACCCCCUCUCUUAAAAAAACACUUACCACUAUAAUGCAACGUAAAAUAAUGUAAUUAAAACACGCCGUACCCUCUCACUUACCGCCAUCCGCCUAACAAAUUCAAAAUAACUUGCAUUAAGCAUGAAUCCUCACAAAAUCAUGUACAUAAUAGCCCUAUUACGCUGCACGAAAUAUGGUUUAUAAUCCGCACUUCAGAGAGCGCUUUGUGAGACAGCCUCGGCCAGAUAAAGGGCCGAUUAGGCCGAUUCCUCUUUAUUGAAUAAUAAUGCACUUUGUGUUUUUAA